GUCAAAUUCAUCUUGGCGGUUUAAAAGCCUCUGCCUUCGUCGUCUCAUCGAUCAAAUUUAUCGAGCAACAUAACCAAAAACCCGUUUUCAAGGAAGGCGAAACCCGGAAAAGAAAAAUAAGAAAGCGAAGAAUGUCGGGCAUGGGGGACGGAUACGUGGGCACGGCUCAAGAUGCCGUGAGAAUCCGGCGGUUAGAGAAGCAGCGAGAAGCCGAGCGUCGCAAAAUCCAAGAGCUCAAGACCAAGUCCGCCUCCGCCAAGGGUCAGCCUGGUCUCCUCCAGUUCGGGUCAAGUACCUCCGAGAUUCUUGAGACUGCUUUUAAGAAGGAGACUGUGGGUUUGGUUACAAGAGAGCAAUAUGUUGAGAAGAGGGUUAAUAUUCAGAACAAGAUUGAAGAGGAAGAAAAGGAGAAGCUCCAAAAGCUUCGGCAAGAGGAGGAGGAGCUCCAGCUGCAAAAGAGAAAGAAGAGAAAGAUUAAGGGGAAUCCUCGAUUGUCCUUUGCUGAUGAUGUUGAGAAUGGAAGUGAAGAAGAGGAUGCUGAAGACAGUAAGACAGAAAGCUUAGAGUCAAAGAGGUUAGUGCAUGGAAAAUUUGGUAAAGAUCCCACAGUGGAAACAAGCUUCUUGCCUGACAGUGAGCGGGAGGCAGAGGAGCAAGCUGAGCGUGAAAGGUUGCGGAAGCAGUGGCUUCGUGAACAGGAACAGAUUCGAAAUGAGCCCCUUGAAAUUACUUACAGCUACUGGGAUGGAGCAGGCCAUAGGAGAGUGAUCCAGGCGCGCAAAGGUGAUACCAUAGGGGAAUUUCUUCGGGCAGUUCAGCAGCAACUUGCACCUGAGUUUAGAGAAAUCAGAACAACAUCUGUGGAGAAUUUACUUUAUGUGAAGGAAGAUCUCAUCAUUCCCCAUCAACACAGCUUUUAUGAGCUUAUUGUUAACAAGGCUAGGGGCAAAAGUGGUCCGUGUUUUCUUUUGGUGGGGUGGGGCUAACGUUGCACCUUGUUUCAUUGUGGAAAUCAAGAUUUCAUUGUAGAAGGGAAAAGAUUCCAGGAAAAGAAAGAGGAAAGAGUCUGAAAUUUGCCAGUCAGGCCUAGCCUAUUUCUUCAUACCCAUUGAACGGUUUUGGGGAUGGAGGGAGGUUUGAGUGCCCCCCAUCCACCACUAUGGUGGGUGUAUGGUGUAUGUUGCAGUUCUGAUCCUGUUUGUUUUAUUAUUGUUGUUGGAGGUAAUUAUGUAAAUCAUUUAUGAAUCCUGUCUGUAUUAGAUUAGGUAUUAUAAAUAGGGCUCUAAUAUUUCUCCUAGACUCGGUAGUGAAAGAGCAGGUUGCUGUUUUUGGAUAUAGACACACUUUGCAAAUCAUUAAAAUUCUUAUGUUUGUUUUUGUCUCUCUGUAUGCUAAUCUGUGUUAGUUCAUGGUUUUGUUUUUUCACUUAAAACAUGUGAAUGGGACAUUAGAGUUCUGUACUUAUAUCCACUGGUUCCCCCUGCGCCCCCCGGCGCCAAAAAAAAAAAUCCUUCCCCAAUUUUUUUCUUGAAAUACAAAGCUUCUCUUUCUCAGCUUUUUCACUUCGAUGUGCAUGAGGAUGUGCGGACCAUAGCUGAUGCUACAAUAGAGAAGGAUGAGUCCCAUGCUGGUAAAGUUGUCGAGAGGCACUGGUAUGAGAAGAACAAACACAUUUUUCCUGCUUCAAGAUGGGAGAUAUAUGACCCAUCAAAGAAGUGGGAGCGUUACACCAUCCAUGGGGAUUGAGCUAGCAGCUGGAUUUGUUUUGUCAUUUUAUCCACAACUACCUGGGAAGUUCAUUCCAACAACACUAUAGGCAGUGUUGUAGUGGUAUUUGAUAAUGCGACUGCAAUUUUUCACUGAACAGAUAUUGAAGUAUUUAAGUGCAAUUUGGUGGUGGAUGGAGUUGUAAUGAUUAGUCACUAGUCUUGAAUCUUGAGCUUCGAUUUUGAAUUUUGGGUCAGAAAAUAAUACGCCUUUACUGCUGCCUGUAUCAGCGUAAUUAAUUAGCAGGGAUAUAAUCGACGUUCUCUCUAAUCUUGUAUGUCAUGAAUUGGAUCACAUAGUUGAUGGUUGGAGAAUACUUGUGCUUGAGAGUGAAAUAAAUGUUUGAAGAAAGUUAAUUUGUA